GCAGUCGUGGCCGAGUGGUUAAGGCGAUGGACUAAAAAUCCGUUGGGGUCUCCCCGCACAGGUUCAAAUCCUGUCGACUGCG
rnacentral:tRNA from 1 species